CAUGCAAGUCGAGCGAAUGGAUUAAGAGCUUGCUCUUAUGAAGUUAGCGGCGGACGGGUGUGUAACACGUAGAGUAACCUGCCCAUAAGACUGGGAUAACCCCGGGAAACCGGGGCUAAUACCGGAUAAUAUUUUGAACUGCAUGGUUCGAAAUUGAAAGGCGGCUUCGGCUGUCACUUAUGGAUGGACCCGCGGCGCAUUAGCUAGUUGGUGAGGUAACGGCUCACCAAGGCAACGAUGCGUAGCCGACCUGAGAGGGUGAUCGGCCACACUGGGACUGAGACACGGCCCAGACUCCUACGGGAGGCAGCAGUAGGGAAUCUUCCGCAAUGGACGAAAGUCUGACGGAGCAACGCCGCGUGAGUGAUGAAGGCUUUCGGGUCGUAAAACUCUGUUGUUAGGGAAGAACAAGUGCUAGUUGAAUAAGCUGGCACCUUGACGGUACCUAACCAGAAAGCCACGGCUAACUACGUGCCAGCAGCCGCGGUAAUACGUAGGUGGCAAGCGUUAUCCGGAAUUAUUGGGCGCAAAGCGCGCGCAGGUGGUUUCUUAAGUCUGAUGUGAAAGCCCACGGCUCAACCGUGGAGGGUCAUUGGAAACUGGGAGACUUGAGUGCAGAAGAGGAAAGUGGAAUUCCAUGUGUAGCGGUGAAAUGCGUAGAGAUAUGGAGGAACACCAGUGGCGAAGGCGACUUUCUGGUCUGUAACUGACACUGAGGCGCGAAAGCGUGGGGAGCAAACAGGAUCAGAUACCCUGGUAGUCCACGCCGUAAACGAUGAGUGCUAAGUGUUAGAGGGUUUCCGCCCUUUAGUGCUGAAAUUAACGCAUUAAGCACUCCGCCUGGGGGAGUACGGCCCCCAAGA
rnacentral:rRNA from 1 species